AAGCUAAGAUGGGCCACUCUAGAAGACCAUUCACUCUGCAUUUAUUCUUGAAGUGAAUACAUGUAAAGACACUACCUGGGUCGAAAUGGCUAAUAUCUGGGUGGAGAAGCUUUUAGGCACUUUUCUAUAGGCUGUGCAUCCCAGACCUUUGUGAGCUGUCUUUUUGCUUGGAGGAGGAAAAAGACCUGUCCAGUCGGUCUUUUUGCUAUUCUACUGUCAGCUGUUUCUCUGCUUUCACAAAGCCUUGAUCCUGAAGUUACCACUGACUUCUGUAAAGGUCCUUAUAUGCACCCUCUUCCCCCGCCCCACCGGCUGACAUGGGAACAGCCUGUGAUAGGCACUGCUACUGGAUGCUAUUGUACCCAAAUGGUGUCGGUAUAUGAGAAAAGCAAGGCCUACACAACUUCUGUUUUUCCCAGCUUUACAUAUUAGGUUUCUGAAGCAUAUGAUGAAUGGGAUGCUCUGCAGUUGAAAGAGCCCAAGUCUCAAAUGGCUCACUCAGCGUUCCCAUAGUGAACUGACCGGCUGUGGGUUGCAGCUCUCUGAACAAGGGGAAUGGUUGCUUUUCCCUGAGAGGAACACUAAGUCCUAAACGCAACAUAACAAAGGCUUCACCCUGCGAGAUAUAAUAUACAUCUCUCUCUCUCUCUGUAUGUAUUUUAUUAUUUUUUAUUUAUUUAUUUGUUUUUGAGUAAAGAGCAGCUCUGUCCUCCUUUGCUCACGCUGGAAAUACUCAGUUUGCCAACCUGACUUUUUCCCCUGUUAGCAAUGGAAGUUGGCCAUGAGUCCCAGCACGCCAUAAGAAAUCGAGCUGUGACCACAUUAAGCAUGAAUGGCAGGGCAAGGUUAUAGCAUGUAACACUAUGCUGUGGUGACCUGUUACAGAAUUAGAGGCUCUGAGGUGUGAGGCUGGAUCAGAUAACUUUAUUGCAAGUAAAGCACAAAGCUAAGCUCAAAGCUGCCUUGGCUGUUUACUCCUUCAGGUGGCGUUUAGUGAGCAUUUCUUACUUUGAAAACAUGUUUUGAAAACUUCAGCUGCAGGGCUUUUAGCCAGAAUCAAACUGCAACGUUCCUUAGUUUUACCUACAAGUACACCCAUGGCAUAUUCCAGUAUACUCUACAAACAAUGAUUUGAAAAGCUUUUCUAAAGCCUCCUGUACGAAGUGACUACUGUAGACCAGCUGUCAAAGGCAGAGGUGUUCAGCUGCAGUGAAGUGAAACGCUGCAUUACUCAACCAGGAGCGGCAGUAGGUUGGUAGAUCUUUCUUGUGAUCAACUUUAGAGUUGUUCUAGGAAGUUAGGCACUCUCUUAAAGAGAAGAAAAUCUGAGAUACAAGUAAGCUCCUUACUCCACCUAUGAGCUUUCUUCCCCAAAUCUGCACUUUCUGUCUUGAAUUAUUGA